GGGGGCAUAGCUCAGCUGGCUAGAGCAUCGGCUUUGCAAGCCGAGGGUCUGGGGUUCGAAUCCCCAUGCCUCCA
rnacentral:tRNA from 3 species